CCGCGAGGUUGGAUGAGGUGUCCGCGGGCGUGCUAGGAGCCGAAAACAGGAGCGAGCUCUCUGCGGCAGGCUGUGGACGCAGCUGAAGGCGCCUGCCCCGGAGAAGCUUCUGCCUGGUGCUUGGAGAUGGAUCCUGGACCUUGGAGGCCACCCGCUGCAGAGGCCUGGACCAUGCUGUCUCGGCUCUGGGAGGGACACGUCCCAUCCUUUUCAGCCCCAGCCAGAACCGCCUGGACCGGACUGGGACCUGACGGCACAAGCCACCCAAGGCACAGGCACCACCAGCCGCUGGUCAACAAACCAAAGCCAACAGAGAGCUCUGCAGAGGACCUCGCUGCUGUCUGAGACCCCAGGGACAGAGGGGCCUGGAGCAACCGCCUGAAUCCUAGACACCACCUAUGUGACUCAGAAUACACCUCCGUCCUCACCCAGCCUCAGCUCCUUGGAAAACGGGGUGCCGGACUGAAACUGCCUGAGGCUCUGAGCACUGAAGGAGCCAGGCCCUGCGCAGAGCUGCACCCAUGGAGAGCUGUGCCCGUGGACGCCUGGGUCCUGCCUGGGGUGCAGAC